GGCUUAAAGGGAAAGCAGGAGGUCUUUGAAGUCUGAUGUGAAAGCAUUCGGCUUAACCGGAGUAGUGCAUGUGAAACUGGGAGACUUGAGUGCAGAAGAGGAGAGUGGAACUCCAUGUGUAGCGGUGAAAUGCGUAGAUAUAUGGAAGAACACCAGUGGCGAAAGCGGCUCUCUGGUCUGUAACUGACGCUGAGGUUCGAAAGCGUGGGUAGCAAACAG
rnacentral:rRNA from 1 species